AUCUAGCUGACAAGUCUUAAAUAGGAUGAAACGCACGUCCUGGAU
rnacentral:hammerhead_ribozyme from 1 species